GACGAACGCUGGCGGCGUGCUUAACACAUGCAAGUCGAACGGAAAGGCCCUGCUUUUGUGGGGUGCUCGAGUGGCGAACGGGUGAGUAACACGUGAGUAACCUGCCCUUGACUUUGGGAUAACUUCAGGAAACUGGGGCUAAUACCGGAUAGGAGCUCCUGCUGCAUGGUGGGGGUUGGAAAGUUUCGGCGGUUGGGGAUGGACUCGCGGCUUAUCAGCUUGUUGGUGGGGUAGUGGCUUACCAAGGCUUUGACGGGUAGCCGGCCUGAGAGGGUGACCGGCCACAUUGGGACUGAGAUACGGCCCAGACUCCUACGGGAGGCAGCAGUGGGGAAUAUUGCACAAUGGGCGGAAGCCUGAUGCAGCAACGCCGCGUGCGGGAUGACGGCCUUCGGGUUGUAAACCGCUUUCGCCUGUGACGAAGCGUGAGUGACGGUAAUGGGUAAAGAAGCACCGGCUAACUACGUGCCAGCAGCCGCGGUGAUACGUAGGGUGCGAGCGUUGUCCGGAUUUAUUGGGCGUAAAGGGCUCGUAGGUGGUUGAUCGCGUCGGAAGUGUAAUCUUGGGGCUUAACCCCUGAGCGUGCUUUCAAUACGGGUUGACUUGAAGAAAGGUAGGGGAGAAUGGAAUUCCUGGUGGAGCGGUGGAAUGCGCAGAUAUCAGGAGGAACACCAGUGGCGAAGGCGGUUCUCUGGGCCUUUCCUGACGCUGAGGAGCGAAAGCGUGGGGAGCGAACAGGCUUAGAUACCCUGGUAGUCCACGCUGUAAACGGUGGGUACUAGGUGUGGGGUCCAUUCCACGGGUUCCGCGCCGUGGCUAACGCUUUAAGUACCCCGCCUGGGGAGUACGGCCGCAAGGCUAAAACUCAAAGGAAUUGACGGGGCCCCGCACAAGCGGCGGAGCAUGCGGAUUAAUUCGAUGCAACGCGUAGAACCUUACCUGGGUUUGACAUGGAUCGGGAGUGCUCAGAGAUGGGUGUGCCUCUUUUGGGGUCGGUUCACAGGUGGUGCAUGGCUGUCGUCAGCUCGUGUCGUGAGAUGUUGGGUUAAGUCCCGCAACGAGCGCAACCCUUGUUCACUGUUGCCAGCACGUUAUGGUGGGGACUCAGUGGAGACCGCCGGGGUCAACUCGGAGGAAGGUGGGGAUGACGUCAAGUCAUCAUGCCCCUUAUGUCCAGGGCUUCACGCAUGCUACAAUGGCUGGUACAGAGAGUGGCGAGCCUGUGAGGGUGAGCGAAUCUCGGAAAGCCGGUCUCAGUUCGGAUUGGGGUCUGCAACUCGACCUCAUGAAGUCGGAGUCGCUAGUAAUCGCAGAUCAGCAACGCUGCGGUGAAUACGUUCCCGGG
rnacentral:rRNA from 1 species